UCGUCAUUACUAUUGAGAUGUCGGGGCUUAAGCAUAGGUUGAGUAUCGACUCACAUGCAAAUGAUACGUAGGCGAACUGAAGGGUAAUCGCCACAUGGGACUGAGAAACGCCCACUCCUACGGGAGGCAGCAGUAGGAUCUUCACAAUGACGAAAGUCUGAUGAGCACGCCGCUGGAGUGAAGAAGGGUUUCGCUCGUAAACUCUGUUGUAAAGAAGAACAAAUCUGAGAGUACUGUCAGGUAUGACGGUAUUUUACCAGAAAGCCACGGCUAACUACGUGCCAGCAGCCGCGGUAAUACGUAGGUGGCAGCGUGUCUGGAUUUAUAGGGCGUAAAGCGAGCGCAGGCGGAUUUUAAAGUCUGAUGUGAAAGCUUACGGCUCAACCGAAGAAGUGCAUCGGAAACUGGGAAACUUGAGUGCAGAAGAGGACAGUGGAACUCCAAGUGUAGCGGUGAAAUGCGUAGAUAUAUGGAAGAACACCAGUGGCGAAGGCGGCUGUCUGGUCUGUAACUGACGCUGAGGCUCGAAAGUAUGGGUAGCAAUCAGGAUUAGAUACCCUGGUAGUCCAUACCGUAAACGAUGAAUGCUAAGUGUUGGAGGGUUUCCGCCCUUCAGUGCUGCAGCUAACGCAUUAAGCAUUCCGCCUGGGGAGUACGGCCGCAAGGCUGAAACUCAAAGGAAUAGACGGGGGCCCGCACAAGCGGUGGAGCAUGUGGUUUAAUUCGAAGCUACGCGAAGAACCUUACCAGGUCUUGACAUACUAUGCAAUUCUAAGAGAUUAGACGUUCCCUUCGGGGACAUGGAUACAGGUGGUGCAUGGUUGUCGUCAGCUCGUGUCGUGAGAUGUUGGGUUAAGUCCCGCAACGAGCGCAACCCUUAUUAUCAGUUGCCAGCAUUAAGUUGGGCACUCUGGUGAGACUGCCGGUGACAAUCCGGAGGAAGGUGGGGAUGACGUCAAAUCAUCAUGCCCCUUAUGACC
rnacentral:rRNA from 1 species